rnacentral:lncRNA from 1 species
AAAAAAACCGAAACCGAACCGAACCUAUGGGUUUGGUUUGGUUUCCGGUUCAAUGUCUCAAAAAAUAUCAAACCGAACCGAACCGAAUUUUUUAUUCGGUUUGGAUUCCGAUUUUAGGUGAAAACCGAACCGAACAAAACCGAACCCACCCCUAUUUCCUCGCCCUCUUCCACGCUCUCUCCCAACAUUGGUGAAUAGCCUCAAAAUAGGACUGAGGAAUUUUUGUUUUUCUUGUACCUACCCUUCAUGGAAUCCUCGACACCUUUGUGUUGUUUCCUCUUCAUAGUCUUCUUCCCCACACAAGUAUCCUGCUCUUCAUCUCCCAAAUUCGCAGUAGGGAUGAUCUCUUUUUUUUAGGAGACAUUAGGAAUGAUCUCGGUUAUCUAGGCCUUUGGAAUCUCCUUGACGGGCCCCAUGAUAGUGUCCAACCGAGUUGAAAAAGGAAGUUUUUUUAUUUACCUGAUAAAAAGGUUUCUUUAUCUCUAGUGGCCCAUGGAGGGAUAACCUUCAGGUUAGCCCAGACCCACUGAUUCUACCCCCCAAUUGUUCUAGUAACGCUGACAUUUCUAUAGAGACUACCAUGUGCACAUGGGUCGUACAUACUAGGCCCCUCCCACAGUAUAUUAGAGCAUCUCCAGUUGUAAUAUCCCGUACACAAUGUAAAUAAUAGUGAUUAAGUGCUCAAUAUGGUAAAUAAAUAAUAAUAAUAAAAAAAAUAAAUAUAAAUAAAAAUUGUCUAGAGUUGGGAAGAAGGGUCGAGAAGAAGGGGGCACCGACUUUGACUCGGACUCUAUCUUUUUAUUUUCUCAAGGAUCUAAGAUCUCUCACGGUCCUGGUACACGGUCAUGGUAUGUCACAUCCCGACCCUUAUAUUUUUACCUUAUUUACUAGCGUGAUUAUAAUAAGAAUUUUACCGUCCCGAUCAUUGAGUAAAUAGUUUAAUUGGUCCCUAGAGGGGUUUCGGGGACGAUUAUGAGCGGAGGAUAAUUCGUAUGAGGAAAAU